rnacentral:rRNA from 1 species
UACAGAGGGUGCGAGCGUUAAUCGGAAUUACUGGGCGUAAAGCGCGCGUAGGCGGCUUUGCAAGUCGGAUGUGAGAUCCCCAGGCUUAACCUGGGAACUGCUUCCGAGACUGCAUCGCUAGAGUAUGGGAGAGGGAAGUGGAAUUUCAGGUGUAGCGGUGAAAUGCGUAGAUAUCUGAAGGAACAUCAGUGGCGAAAGCGACUUCCUGGACCAAUACUGACGCUCAUGUGCGAAAGCGUGGGGAGCAAACAGG